UGAUGGCAAAACCAGGCUCCAAAUAUCACCUGCUCUUCAGGAGCAUCACCUAUCAACUGGUACACCAAAGCCUGUAGGGAGCCAGAGAAGCUGAAAUACUGAGACUGAGCUCUACUACUACGUUGGAAAAAUAAACAAGUAUAUUGCCAAAUGACUCUGAGUGGGCUGCAUUGGAAGGAGGGAGCUGAAGACAUAAAUGGUGCCCACAUCUCGAGCAAAAAAUGGAGCUCUGAGGGAGUGAUUUGCUCAUCUACUUAAGAAAAGACACAUGUCCUGAGGCUUUACUGGAGAAGGGAAAGCAGCCUGCAUGCAGAAGGAGGGUGGCAAGAGAGUGGUGCUUCUUUUGACUUUCAGAUAAAACAGAAAUAGGUGUCAGCAUUGCUAAAGGAGGCAAUAGGGAAGCUGCUAUUUGUUGGCAUCAACUGAUUUUUCCAAAGCCGUUGGAGCAGGUUAAGGUCUCGGCACCAAUUCAGCCCUGUGGUCAGUGGAAGGAGACUUGCCUGCAAUGACUGUUCUCAUUUGUUACCCAUUCCCAUAGGUCAAGCAUGGAGCAAAGUGCAGCAACCAGUUGACAAGAGGAGCUUUUACCCUCUGCAGCCAGACCUCUGUUUUCUAAACAGCAUCUAGCCCUGAUAAGCUUGGAGUACCAGUGCAAGUGUGCCGGAUCGUUAACCAGAUACCCAUUAACAUCUCAGUCAAGCCAAGAAAGAUAAUACACCUUUCCCUGCUUUCAUGUAUGCAACCACUGGAUGAGGUCCUCAAAGCAAAGUCCUGAGGAAUGACCGGAGUGAGGGUGAAAAGAUCUCUAGCUGAGAGUAGAGGACAGAGCUACUGCUGGACUUGGAGAGAUCGAGAUCAGCUCCUGUGGAUUGGGAUCACAUGCCAGGAAGGGAAGUGGCUGGGAGGUGAGUGAUGGCGAGUCCGGAUCUAUCCCUUGGAUUCAGCACAUGUCCCCAGACUUGACUGGAAAUCUAGAUGUGUCUGUGAAGAUCUUACAGACUGGUCAGAGAAAAGCUUUAGUGUGUUGGGGGUUCAGCAUAGUUGCAGCCUGAGGUGGAAAGGGAUUAAGUAUUUUAUGCAGGCUCAUGCAUUAAAUCCCUGCAGGUUCUGAACUUCCAGUGAAUUUAACUAUGAAGCCAUCCUCUUCUCUCCUAUAGUCCAGCAGUCACUGCACACGUGGGGUGCUGGUCUGUUUGCAAAAUGUUUGCAAGCACUGAAAUGACUUCUGGAAGUGCCUUAUAAAUGUGCUGGAAGAUUAACAUCAGUUACUGAAGAAAAGCCAAAUUACUGACAAAGUGGACUUCAGAAGGACAAAAAGUCUGCUUCUUUUCCCUGACCGUUUCUGUGAGGCACUUCAGCUCAUCAAAACCAACACCAAAUUAAUUAAUUUUUAAUGCUCUGUGGUUCAUGAAGAAAUAAAAAAAAUUUACAAAAGAUGUUAAAAAAAUUGCAAACAAAUCACAACUUUCCUGGAAGUUCAGUUUCUCAAUAAAGUCAUAGCAGAUGUUUAGCCCUGCACUAGGACUUGUAUAGGCUCCUCAAAGUGCUGGGCUAAGGGAAAAAAUAGGCCAGGUGUUGAUGGAGAUUUUGGGGCAGCUGCUUCACAAACCAUUUUAAUCCAGAGACUUUUAGAGGGAGGAUUGUAGGAGAUGGAGUGGGUGGCUUCAGCCCCAGCCUUUCUUUGAAAUAGCCUGACAGAGCUGUGUUAGCAGCACAGCUCUUACAGUGUUAUUGGCUUCAUGACGACAGAUAAAAUAGAAAAUUUUGAUUUCUACCUCAAUAAAGCCCCAAUACCUCCCUACUCCUUUGAGUCUCAUGUCUGAUAUACCUUGAAGGAGGAAUCUCUUUGAAGGUCCAUCAGUGAAGAAAGCUGUGCCACUUCUUAUCGUGGCUGGGCUCCAUUUUCAAGGCAAGGGAAAUUCCAGCGAACUUCGAGAUCCAUCAAGGUGGCUUGGCUCUUAUUCAUCACCCUCCUGGCAUCCAGGCUUGAAAUUCUUAAUGUGAUUAGUGCUGAGGAAACAAUUUUCGUCCUCCU